rnacentral:rRNA from 1 species
UACGGAGGGGGCUAGCGUUGUUCGGAAUUACUGGGCGUAAAGCGCGCGUAGGCGGACCUGCAAGUCGGGGGUGAAAGCCCGAGGCUCAACCUCGGAACUGCCUUUGAUACUGAUGGUCUCGAGUCCGGAAGAGGUGAGUGGAAUUCCGAGUGUAGAGGUGAAAUUCGUAGAUAUUCGGAGGAACACCAGUGGCGAAGGCGGCUCACUGGUCCGGUACUGACGCUGAGGUGCGAAAGCGUGGGGAGCAAACAGG